rnacentral:rRNA from 1 species
AAUAGAUACCCGGGUAGUCCACGCCGUAAACAAUGUCGACUUGGAGGUUGUUCCCUUGAGGAGUGGCUUCCGGAGCUAACGCGUUAAGUCGACCGCCUGGGGAGUACGGCCGCAAGGUUAAAACUCAAAUGAAUUGACGGGGGCCCGCACAAGCGGUGGAGCAUGUGGUUUAAUUCGAUGCAACGCGAAGAACCUUACCUACUCUUGACAUCCACGGAACUUUUCAGAGAUGAAUUGGUGCCUUCGGGAACCGUGAGACAGGUGCUGCAUGGCUGUCGUCAGCUCGUGUUGUGAAAUGUUGGGUUAAGUCCCGCAACGAGCGCAACCCUUAUCCUUUGUUGCCAGCGGUUUAGGCCGGGAACUCAAAGGAGACUGCCAGUGAUAAACUGGAGGAAGGUGGGGAUGACGUCAAGUCAUCAUGGCCCUUACGAGUAGGGCUACACACGUGCUACAAUGGCGCAUACAAAGAGAAGCGACCUCGCGAGAGCAAGCGGACCUCAUAAAGUGCGUCGUAGUCCGGAUUGGAGUCUGCAACUCGACU